rnacentral:rRNA from 1 species
UUACUGAGCUCAUGCCCUUCGGGGUAGACCUCCCACCCUGUGUAUUAUAUACCUUUGUUGCUUUGGUAGGCCGUUAGGCUUCGGUCUCACUAUCGGCUUCGGCUGGUAAGUGCCUGCCAGANGACCCAAAAACUCUGAAUAUAUUANUGUUGUCCGAGUAUUAUAUAAUAGUUAAAACUUUCAACAACGGAUCUCUUGGUUCUGGCAUCGAUGAAGAACGCAUCGAAAUGCGAUAAGUAAUGUGAAUUGCAGAAUUCAGUGAAUCAUCGAAUCUUUGAACGCACAUUGCGCCCCUUGGUAUUCCGAGGGGCAUGCCUGUUCGAGCGUCAUUACAACCCUCAAGCUCUGCUUGGUAUUGGGCAUCACCAGGAUAGUGUGUGCCUUAAAACUAGUGGCAGUGCUAUCCAGCUCUAAGCGUASUAAACUUCUCGCUACAGGUGCUGGGUAGGUGCUUGCCAAAACCCUAAUUUAUCAAAGGUUGACCUCGGAUCAGGUAGGGAUACCCGCUGAACUUAAGCAUAUC